rnacentral:sRNA from 1 species
AAACAGGUGGUGCAUGGCUGUCGUCAGCUAGUGUCGUGAGAAGUUGGGAUAAGUCCCGCAACGAGCGCAACCCUCGUGGUUAGUUGCCAGCAUUAAGUUGGGCACAUUAGAGAGAAUGCCGGUGACAAACCGGAGGAAGGUGGGGAUGACGUCAAGUCAGCAUGCCCCUUACGUUUUGGGCUGCACACGUACUACAAUGCUACGGACAAAGGGCAGCGACUCAGCGAGGGAAGCAAAUCUCAGAAACCGUGGCUCAGUUCAGAUCGAAGCUUGCAAAUCAGCUUCGUGAAGGAGGAAUCGCUAGUAAUUGCAGGUCAGCAUACUGCAGUGAAUUCGUUCCCGGGCCUUGUUCACACCGCCCGUCACACCAUGGAAGCUGGUCACGCCCGAAGUCGUUACCCCAACUCUAAGGAGAGGGGGAUGCCGAAGGCAGGACUGGUGAAUGGGGUGAAGUCGUAACAAGGUAGCCGUACCGGAAGGUGUGGCUGGAUCACCUCCUUUUAGGGAGACCUUACCCACUCAGGUAUCGAAAAUCGAAACACGAGUCAUAGAUACUGAGAUGGUCAUUCCUAGGUCGGUGGCGGAAAAAGCUAAAGCUUUCAAACUAUAUUUAUGGUUCGGGUAAUGGGAAUUUAGCUCAGGGGUUAG